rnacentral:rRNA from 1 species
UACGUAGGGUGCGAGCGUUAAUCGGAAUUACUGGGCGUAAAGCGUGCGCAGGCGGUUUUGUAAGUCAGAUGUGAAAUCCCCGGGCUCAACCUGGGAACUGCGUUUGAAACUACAAGGCUAGAGUGUGGCAGAGGGGGGUGGAAUUCCACGUGUAGCAGUGAAAUGCGUAGAGAUGUGGAGGAACACCGAUGGCGAAGGCAGCCCCCUGGGUUAACACUGACGCUCAGGCACGAAAUCGUGGGGAGCAAACAGG